rnacentral:misc_RNA from 1 species
AGAAUUUUGAAAGCUCAAGUAUGGUCAGAUCUUAAACGAAGAUCCGUUAGUUUAACAUUUUUUUUUCUUCAAGAGAACAAGUUGAGCGUGGCUUUGAACUACAAGAAGACCCGAAAAUGUGCGACUACCAGAUGGAGUACUCCUUUAUUUUUGAAGACAGCUCCUGCGAGGGCGAUGCUCGAUGGCAUCCUACGACAAUGGAUUCGAGUCCAUGUGGCAUCAAGUGCGCGAGGAGUUGCAAAGGGAGCGGGAGAUGAAUGAGCUCUGCCAGGUUUUCCAGCAAAACUUGAGCCUGAGUCCGCCGGUCAUCGCGGAUAGAUGGAGAUUCUGACUGGACCUCCCAAAAGCCAACUUAUUGUGAUAUUUGUAAAUUAUAGUUUUAGCAGUUCGUUUGCCACAUGAGUGGAACAUCGUGAAUGCACUUUUGAUAAGUGCUCGGUUAUUUUAUAUUGUAACUACCAGCCUUCAGAGGCGAUCGUAUGCAUAGUUUCUUGAAGUCAAUUUGUCCGUGUAUUCAAAUGUUUGCUUUCGUGAAAACUCGCAUUGUUUUGUCACUCUACCAAGUAAUCAAUUUGUACCAAUCAAUCGCAUAUGGUUGUCCUAGAUCUAAAAAUGGCAAUAAUUUGCACCUAAUGUAUUCAAGAACAAGGAGGGAAGCUCGAAAUUUCUCAAAUACUUACCCCAAAAAUAGAUAGAAAUAUAUUUUCGAUUCGCAAUCGUUCG